GGUGAACGCUGACAGAAUGCUUAACACAUGCAAGUCAACUUGAACUUCGGUUUGGGUGGCGGACGGGUGAGUAACGCGUAAAGAACUUGCCUCACAGAUAGGGACAACAUUUGGAAACGAAUGCUAAUACCUGAUAUUAUGAUUAUAUGGCAUCGUAUAAUUAUGAAAGCUAUAUGCGCUGUGAGAGAGCUUUGCGUCCCAUUAGCUAGUUGGAGAGGUAACGGCUCACCAAGGCGAUGAUGGGUAGCCGGCCUGAGAGGGUGAUCGGCCACAAGGGGACUGAGACACGGCCCUUACUCCUACGGGAGGCAGCAGUGGGGAAUAUUGGACAAUGGACCAAGAGUCUGAUCCAGCAAUUCUGUGUGCACGAUGAAGUUUUUCGGAAUGUAAAGUGCUUUCAGUUGGGAAGAAAAAAAUGACGGUACCAACAGAAGAAGAGACGGCUAAAUACGUG
rnacentral:rRNA from 1 species